rfam:Natronolimnobius innermongolicus JCM 12255 contig_41, whole genome shotgun sequence.
GCGAGGGUAGCCAAGCGGUCAACGGCGGCGGACUCAAGAUCCGCUCCCGUAGGGGUUCGUGGGUUCGAUUCCCUCCCCUCGCA